CUCCUACGGGAGGCAGCAGUAGGGAAUUUUGCGCAAUGGACGAAAGUCUGACGCAGCAACGCCGCGUGAGGUGAUGACGGCCUUCGGGUUGUACACCUCUGUUGAGUGGGAAGAAAAGCUUUGUGGUUAAUCUCCACAGAGUCUGACGGUACCACUCGAGGAAGCUCCGGCUAACUACGUGCCAGCAGCCGCGGUAAUACGUAGGGGGCUAGCGUUGUUCGGAAUCACUGGGCGUAAAGGGAGUGUAGGCGGACCGGUAAGUUAGGAGUUAAAUUGUACGGGCUCAACCCGUGAUCUGCUUUUAAUACUGUCGGUCUUGAGUAUGGGAGAGGGAGAUGGAAUUCCAGGUGUAGCGGUGGAAUGCGUAGAUAUCUGGAAGAACACCAGUUGCGAAGGCCGGUCUCCUGGACCAAUACUGACGCUGAUGCUCGAAAGCUGGGGGAGCGAACAGGAUUAGAUACCCUGGUAGUCCCAGCCGUAAACGAUGGACACUAGUUGCCGGAGGAGUCAAUCCCUUCGGUGACGAAGCUAACGCAUUAAGUGUCCCGCCUGGGGAGUACGCUCGCAAGGGUGAAACUCAAAGGAAUUGACGGGGGCCCGCACAAGCGGUGGAGCAUGUGCUUUAAUUCGAUGCAACGCGAAGAACCUUGCCUGGGUUUGACAUGGGGGUGAAAGUUUCCAGAGAUGGAAGCCUUUCCUUCGGGAACACCCCACACAGGUGCUGCAUGGUUGUCGUCAGCUCGUGUCGUGAGAUGUUGGGUUAAGUCCCGCAACGAGCGCAACCCCUGCCCUUAGUUGCCAUCAGGUAAAGCUGGGAACUCUAAGGGGACAGCUUGGUAUAACCAGGAGGAAGGUGGGGAUGACGUCAAAUCAUCAUGGCUCUUACGCCCAGGGCUAGACACGUGCUACAAUGGCAGGUACAGUGGGAUGCCAGCCUGCGAAGGUGAGCUAAUCCCUUAAAACCUGUCUCAGUCCGGAUUGGAGUCUGCAACUCGACUCCAUGAAGUUGGAAUCGCUAGUAAUCGCGGAUCAGCAUGCCGCGGUGAAUACGUUCCCGGGCCUUGUACACACCGCCUGUCAAGCCAUGAAAGGCGGUAGUACCCGAAGUCGCGUACCCAACCGUAAGGAGGGAAGCGCCGAAGG
rnacentral:rRNA from 1 species